CAAAUUUACGAUACUGAGUUUGAGCAAUCGUUGAUGUUAUUUAUAUACUCGCAAGUUAAAUUGUGAUCAACACUAGACCAUACUGGUAUACACAACUACGCUUUCUACUUGACAGGUUUAAAUUACUGAGGAGAUUGGAAAUAUUUGCCUAACAUGUGUUGUCACAACAUUUUUAGUCGGAGACUCGGCAUAAUUUUCAAGCUUUUAGAUAGCAUUUAAUAUGGCUAUAUAUUUUAGUAAACACGAGUCAUGUUUAGCCCGUUAUUCCAUUCUGAUCGUAUGGCAGCGAAACGUAGCCUAUUUCAUUGUUCCGACAGCAUUAGAGCAAAACUAAUGACUUAGUUAUAAAUGCAAAGGAAAUUUCCAUAACAUUUUCCAUUUACAAAUGAGGUAUGCUUGGUAACCAGGCCAGGGACCACUUUUUUGAAAUCAGGGACCAUUUUACCGAAAUCUGCUAGGCUCUCUCGCUGAAGCGUUCCGCACAGCACACCCAGGCAUAAAACUUUUAAGACUUAUUUAAAUAUAUCAAAGCAGCGAAUAGAGAGAGAGAGCCUGGGACUAGGCUGGCAGUUAGUGUAAAUUUUGCACACCAAAUUAACUUUCGCGCUUUCUGAUUGGCUGGUUGACCGGUAAAUCUGACUCAAUAUCUGGCAAAUAAUGCUUUUUAAAAGAAUGGUCUGGCAAACUUUUUUAUAUUUCAAAAGAUGAAAUAUUUAAAAAGUCGUCUCCUGAGAACUAAAGAGGAACAAAAUUUUGUGUUUAACUUGAAAAGCAGGAAUCCUUUAUAUUUUACUGUGCAAAAAUAUUUAUCGACAAUUUGAAACAUAUUUUAUGUCGUAUCCUAUAUAUCUGAGAUUAUACGACAUAUUUGCUUUUAAUAUGUCAUAUAUCUUUUUAUUGUGCUGUGACGGUGUCAAGCAAGUAGUUUGAAACUAGAAAACCCCUACCCCUAUAUACCUCCAAAAGGAUUCGACCGCACGCUGAUUGACCGAGCCUGACAAGCGCGAUUCACGGCGUGACUCACGGCGUGACUCAUCUACUGCAAACGGAGUGAAAUAUGAUAAUAUCGGUAAAUUAUCUGUUGCUAUAUGGCGAUAUACUGCGUCGAAUUACGUAAACAAACAGAUAUCUAUUAUUUCCAGUAUUUUAUUUUGUUUUAAACGUUUAAAACAAAAAUUUGGUAAGACCCCGUCUAUGUUUUCUAAGAUAUACCGAUAUUUCUGGAGAUAUUCAACCACAGGCAAAGCUGCAUCCAAGCUUCAUCUAGGCGUCUCCAUGUAAGUGGUGAUUAACACGAAAUUUGCUUUCUCUCGUCUUGAACAAUAUUGGCUAUUGCCUUUAAUAUUUAGUUUAAAUAUGCUCUUAUAGAUCUGACUUAGUUUGAUAUAAAUAAACACAAAUAUAAAACCUAGGGUAACCUGUUUACGCUGUACAGGAAUAUACGGAUUCGCUUGUUUCGCCGGACACCAGCACUUGCCGUUCAGGAGCAAUGCUUGCCUACAAAUUUUAUCCCCUUCACAAUCUUUGUUUUAUUUUAUCGUAUAGUCGCACUUUUCAAGUAUUCGGGGUAUUCUGAAACUGUAAAACUCGGUGGCGUGACGAAUCUUGUACAGUUGUAGAGACUACAUCGGCGUAGGCGUAGAGCUAUUAAAUUUUAGAACAGGGCCUAAAUUAAUUUAGUAGUUUCAUUUAAUUGUUUGUCUUGCUUUUAUUGGUCGAUCAGUAUAGAAUAUUGUAAAUUAAAA